UCCCGUUUUCUUCUUUUCAUUCUUUAUCUCUUCCUUUCUCAUUCCCUUUUUCUUUCUCUUUAACUUCUGGUGAAUCAGCGAUUGAAGGAAAGAAAUCACUAAACGUCAGUUGAUUUAGAUCCUUGAAUUUAAGUAGCGCGGAGUUUCAAGGACAAGUCUGCAAAUGGUUCUUUUGAUGUGGAAUGAGCGAUUACGCAUGCAGGCCAAAACAUCAAAACAUGAUGCGUCACGAAACACCAAAUAAACCCCGAGGAG